UUCCUGGUCGGUUGGUCGGUGUACAUGCAGGAACGCGUGUGUCGUGCGCUGUCCCGUUUAAAGCUCCUUUUAUUCCCCGUGGUUCUUCCUGCUCGCUUGCUCGCUUUGCGUCACCGUUUUUGCUUCCGUUCGCCUUCGCCGCCCGUUUGCUUCCGCCGGCCGCCGCCGCCCAUUCGCCUCCGCCGGAAGCCGGACCCCGGCGCCCCUUCGUCUCGCGGUGGCAGUUUUCGGCAGUUCCACGUCCCUCCCCUGCCGCUCACCACCGUCGUGGUAUGGCACAACUCCGGCGUGGCGCUGGGCGCGCUGCGUGUGGCUACAGAUUGUCCAGCGGCGAUGCUCUUACUGGACUUCAUGAUGGCAAGUGAUUGGUGGUUCCUGGGUUGGUUAAUAUUGUGAUUUUGCGGAUAUGGGAUGAGUUAUCUUGUAAGAUGAAGGGUAAUCUUUGAUGGCAUAGGGGGAUCUGCGUGAUGUUGCCCUUGGCUAUGACACCAUUUCUCGGUAUGUUGUAAGAGUGAACUGGUUUGCUCUACUUGGAGUUCUCCUGUGCUCAAGAUUUGAGAAAGCAAAACCAAAGGCGCAGAUUGCAUAAGUUAAUUACAGAAGGGUCAGGAUCUAGCUGCCAAUUCAUAGGGGGAAAUGUAUUUAAAUUUCCCUAAUGGAUAUUUAAUAUUUCUGUUGGAAAUUAGGUAUUAUCUUAGCAUUGUUACUGAAGCUAUCUCGGUGCUAGAGAGUCAGUUGGCAUGGUCAUCCGCCCUCUCCCUUUGUUUCAUCUAACAAAAACUUGGAGACGUGAGCUUUGAGAGGAUUACGAAGGAACCCAACUUCAUGUAAUAAUUUACUUUCCCUCUGAAGGUUAAUCGUUAGCUUGGUUCUUCUACUGUGUAUGAUUUAGUUUUUCAAACCAAUGCAGAGAAAUAUUUUAAGUA